rnacentral:rRNA from 1 species
GUUUCCUUCGGGAAACCAUUAGCUUAGCGGCGGACGGGUGAGUAAUACGUAGGUAACCUGCCCUUAAGACUGGGAUAACUCACGGAAACGUGGGCUAAUACCGGAUAGUCGAUUUCCUCGCAUGAGGGAAUCGGGAAAGGCGGAGCAAUCUGCCACUUAUGGAUGGACCUACGGCGCAUUAGCUAGUUGGUGGGGUAACGGCUCACCAAGGCGACGAUGCGUAGCCGACCUGAGAGGGUGAUCGGCCACACUGGGACUGAGACACGGCCCAGACUCCUACGGGAGGCAGCAGUAGGGAAUCUUCCGCAAUGGACGCAAGUCUGACGGAGCAACGCCGCGUGAGUGAUGAAGGUUUUCGGAUCGUAAAGCUCUGUUGCCAGGGAAGAACGCUAUGGAGAGUAACUGUUCCAUAGGUGACGGUACCUGAGAAGAAAGCCCCGGCUAACUACGUGCCAGCAGCCGCGGUAAUACGUAGGGGGCAAGCGUUGUCCGGAAUUAUUGGGCGUAAAGCGCGCGCAGGCGG